GCAUCAGGACUGGGCUAGCCACUGCCUCCGUUUUCUCUGGGCUCCUGAGAUAACCUCCACCUGCCUCUAGAUUCUGUGCCAGCUGAUCGUUAUCUAUCUCAUCAACUCUUGUUCCAUCAGGAAACUGCAUCUUGAGUCCUCACGGGACUGGGGGCCAUCUGGUCAAGGAAAGGAAACUGGCUAGAGACUAAAAUCAAAAGAGGAAGAAAUGGACAUUGCUCUGGAUGGAGAAAUAUAUGCUCAAUUUCUUGAAAGACUUUUUUCCCCAUGAAAGGGCAGCUCAGUGUAAAGAAGCAGAAUUACAGUUUUCCAUUAUGGACAUUCUCAAUAACUUAAAGACAUUUUCAACAUUCAGACUUCAAUACAUUUCAACAUAAUUUCCAUAUUUUCGUAAGUAAUCAGGAAGAACAUGUGUACAUGGGAGUGAGUGCUCCAACUGGUGAAGAUAAACUAGAGAGAGAUCUUGCAAGUUUGAGAAGAGACCCAGACACAUGCAAAUGGCCUUCUGAGUUCAUUCUUGAUGGAGAGGAGCUGGAAGAAUCCACUAAGGACAAAUUGCCCUGUGGAUUUAGUAAGAGAUCUGUAUAUAGUGGAGCCCCCUGAGGCUGGCUUGUUAAAGUAGUAUCUUCUGCUUCCCUGACAGCAAAUUCGUGUGCACUGUUUACUGGGAAAUAAUUAUGGUUUUCGGCACUGGCAAAUGGAGUCCUAUUUCUAAUGGGAGACAGUGGUUGGCAAACAUGAAACCCUGAGUUUCCCUCUGAGUCUGAGCUGUGAACUGAAGUCGAUGACAUUGACAAGUCUACUGGAAUAUCAUCUCUCAGAGCAGAAUGCAUGAAUGAUGCAGGAGGGUUAUAGGAUGAAUUCACUGAUGAUCUUGGAGAUAUUGGUCUGCCAGAAAUAAAGUAGUCAAGAGAAUUUUGAGAACUGUUUAAAUAGUCUUUCCAGUAUCCUUCAGAAUCAUGGGUGCCAGGCCUAUGUUCCACAGAAAUACAAUCACUCCAUACAUUUUCAGCAUUGACACCAACCUCUUGUCUGGGCUCGGAUUUGGUGUCCCACGAAAGAGGGCUCUUUUUCGCAUUUUCACUGCCACCUCUGUCCUUCUCUGUAGCAGAUUCCCUAUCAGGCAGCCCGGGGUCUUGGGACAACCUUUGCCCAGCAGAAGGCCGCUCUGUUGCUGGCUCCAUUGCAUUGCUUAUUCUCAAUGAGCCAUGACUGGGCUCACUUCUUCUUGAAGAAUGACCUCUGCAAUUUUCAGCAUUUUCUUCAAAAUUUUUAUUUUUGGCCUGAGGGGUCGAUGUCCCCCCAAAUCUACUUCUUUUGUGAUGGGAAGGAGAACAGGGUGAGCGCACACCAACCCACAGACAUUCUUCAGACUGGGUUUCCUCUUCAGUGUCAUCGCUUUCUCUUCUGCUGUUCAAUGACAAAAUGGAAUAAAAGUCUUCAUCUCGGAACCUAAAUGAUGCCUUUCUUGGCCCUCCUACAGUGGUGGGUGUGAGUGGUGGCCCCGAGAACUCACUCAAUACUUGAGGACUAUUUUUUCCUUGGAAGGCCUGGGACAGGGCUGGAUGCAGCUCACUCUGGGAAGGAGCACUCGGGUCUCCUUUUUUGGCUCUAUCAGGGGCGUUCUCAGUCAUUGGCUGUGACGAUGGGACCAAGUUUCUUCUCUCUUGAUUUGGCCUCUUCAGCUUAGUGUUACACAUCAGGCCUUCUUGUUGAACUACUUGAUCUGCAUUGAGAAAAGACACAUUUAUCGUUCCAGUAAAAGGGCCCAUGGAUGAAAGGCCUCUAGCACCAAGUGCAAAAUUGCCCUUUAAAUGCAACAGACAAGACCUAGAGAAGAAAACAGACACGGUCAAAAUGGCUGGAGGUACAAGAGGAGCAGAGCCCAGCAGGCUUCAUUUUACUGCCCCGUAUUCUCCUUUGUACCCCUGUGGUCCUAGGGAAAUGGGGGGACCCUGAGGAUACAGAUUCUUUCUGCAGAAGCUCCCGGAAGACUGGCCCAGCCCCAGCCAGUCAGGACUGAUGAUGCGCAAACCUCACACUAAAUACUGGCUUUUGUUCCAUACGUACUGAAAGGGAAAACCACCACUCUGGGAAUGACUUCUACAAAAACCACCAGCCCUUUCUCAUCCACGUUCAUUCAAUGUACAUUUAUGACACCCUGCCUCCCACGCAGCUUUACAAGAACUUAAGAGAAGUAUAACAUGUCUUGGCAGAUCAGGAGGAAGGCUAUAGGAGCUGGCGCCCGGGGAACACUGGGGAUUUUGGUCAUGUUUAC
ensembl:lncRNA novel transcript, antisense to MARCH10